rnacentral:rRNA from 1 species
UACGUAGGGUGCGAGCGUUAAUCGGAAUUACUGGGCGUAAAGCGUGCGCAGGCGGUUCGUGAUGUCUGAUGUGAAAGCCCCGGGCUCAACCUGGGAACUGCAUUGGAAAACUAGCGGGCUGGAGUGUGGCAGAGGGGGGUGGAAUUCCACGUGUAGCAGUGAAAUGCGUAGAGAUGUGGAGGAACACCGAUGGCGAAGGCAGCCCCCCUGGGCUAACACUGACGCUCAUGCACGAAAGCGUGGGGAGCAAACAGG